GACGAACGCUGGCGGCACGCCUAACACAUGCAAGUCGAACGGUGACGAUGGAGCUUGCUCCAUCAGAUCAGUGGCGGACGGGUGAGUAACACGUGAGCAACCUGCCUUUCAGUGGGGGACAACAGUUGGAAACGACUGCUAAUACCGCAUAACGUCAUUUGAGGGCAUCCUCGAAUGACCAAAGNUUUAUCGCUGAAAGAUGGGCUCGCGUCUGAUUAGAUAGUUGGUGAGGUAACGGCUCACCAAGUCGACGAUCAGUAGCCGGACUGAGAGGUUGAACGGCCACAUUGGGACUGAGACACGGCCCAGACUCCUACGGGAGGCAGCAGUGGGGAAUAUUGCACAAUGGAGGAAACUCUGAUGCAGCGAUGCCGCGUGAGGGAAGAAGGUUUUCGGAUUGUAAACCUCUGUACUUCAGGGACGAUAAUGACGGUACCUGAGGAGGAAGCUCCGGGCUAAACUACGUGCCAGCAGCC
rnacentral:rRNA from 1 species